rnacentral:lncRNA from 1 species
AUGAGGAGUUCAUGGUACUUUAUUUUGAAAGGGCUUUUAGAACUUACUUGUCUUAUUUUAUCCCCAAAUCGACCCGAGAGCCAGGUGAGUCUGUGGUUCCCGUCAACAGCCACAGGGGAAGGAAAAUCAAGACACAUGCCUGUGUCUCCGGGGUCUGUCUCAGUUUUAAUUCGGUUCAAUAAAGGUUUUGAGGGCCCGUGGGCAGGAGGCGGGGGGGGGGGGGGGGGGUGCAGCGCGUGGCCCACGCACCCCUACGGCUGGAAGCCCCCGAGCCCCCCUGCCCCCCCGCGCCCCCCCGCCUCCCUGCGCCCCCGCGGCCCCCCCCGGGCGCCCCCUGCGCCCCCCGCGCCCCCGCAGACACUCGCUGGUCGCGGAGCUACACCCGCACGGCCUGGGCGCGGGGGAGGAGAGGCCAACGGGACCCCCUGCCCCCUCGUGCAGGUCACGUCUUGGCCUGAAGACACAGGAAGUAACCAGGAAAGGAAGUUCAUAAAGAUACAAAGUGUCCAGCAGGAAAGAAAGAAGCGGCUCCGGGGGGUGCUCGGGGGCGAGGCCCUGCGGCUGGCGGCGCCCCCGGCCUCGGAGCACCUGCGGCCGCUGGGGGGCCGGUCCCGCGGGGCAGGGGGAACCCCGGAGGCUGCGUCCCCGCCGCGAGUCGGGCCGCGGGAGCAGCAGAGCCCGGGGAGACCGCGCCCCCCGCGCCCCCCGCGCCCCCGCCCCCCCGCGGGCCUAGCGCCGACCUUCGCGGCGGCUGCGCCCGGCCCGGCCCGGCCCUCGGUCCUCCCGUGUCCGCGGGGCCGCUCCAGACCCGCCCUAGACCCGCCGGGAGCCCCCCGGCUGCCCGAGCCUGCGGCGGGGCCCCGGGCACGCGGACCGCGGGGCCGGGCGCUGAGUCACCGCGGCCGCCGGCGCAUCCAGGGCCCGUGGGGUCCCCGCCCGCAGCCUCAGGCCCGGGACCCGCGCUCCGGCCCCCCCCGCCCGUGGUUCCGCCCGCGCCCCCCCGCGGCCCCCGCCCGUGGUUCCGCCCGACCGCGCUAG